AACGCGAAGAACCUUACCUGGGCUCGAAAUGUAGAGGACGCUACAAGAGAUUGUAGUUCCCGAAAGGGUCUCUAUAUAGGUGCUGCAUGGCUGUCGUCAGCUCGUGCCGUGAGGUGUUUGGUUAAGUCCAGCAACGAGCGCAACCCUUAUCGUUAGUUGCCAACGCGUAAAGGCGGGAACUCUAACGAGACUGCCUAGGUUAACUAGGAGGAAGGUGAGGAUGACGUCAAGUCCGCAUGGCCUUUAUGUCCAGGGCUACACACGUGCUACAAUGGUCGGUACAGAAGGCAGCGAAGCCGCGAGGUGGAGCAAAUCCUACAAAACCGAUCUCAGUUCAGAUUGCAGUCUGCAACUCGGCUGCAUGAAGUUGGAAUUGCUAGUAAUGGCGUGUCAGCAACAACGCCGUGAAUACGUUCCCGGGCCUUGUACACACCGGUAUCUC
rnacentral:rRNA from 1 species